rnacentral:tRNA from 1 species
ACUAUUUUGGCAGAAAACAUGUAGUGGUUUUAGAAAUCAUAAAUAUAUAAUAAAUUAUAUAUGUAGUA